rnacentral:rRNA from 1 species
AGACGGAGGGUGCUAGCGUUGUUCGGAAUCAUUGGGCGUAAAGGGCGUGUAGGCGGUUCGUUAAGUCAUGCGUGAAAGCCCUCGGCUUAACCGAGGAAGUGCGUAUGAUACUGGCGAGCUAGAGUUCGGAAGAGGGGGGUGGAAUUCCAGGUGUAGCGGUGAAAUGCGUAGCUAUCUGGAGGAACACCGGUGGCGAAGGCGACCCCCUGGUCCGACACUGACGCUGAGACGCGAAAGCGUGGGUAGCAAACAGGAUUAGAAACCCCAGUAGUCC